ACGCUCGACACCUACGGGAGGCGGCAGUAGGGAAUCUUCCACAAUGGGCGCAAGCCUGAUGGAGCAACACCGCGUGAGUGAAGAAGGGUUUCGGCUCGUAAAGCUCUGUUGUUGGAGAAGAACGUGCGUGAGAGUAACUGUUCACGCAGUGACGGUAUCCAACCAGAAAGUCACGGCUAACUACGUGUCAGCAGCCGCGGUAAUCUGAGCGGGCUGGCAAGGC
rnacentral:rRNA from 1 species